rnacentral:rRNA from 1 species
AGAGCGAACGCUGGCGGCAGGCCUAAUACAUGCAAGUCGAACGGAUCCUUCGGGAUUAGUGGCGGACGGGUGAGUAACACGUGGGAACGUACCCUUUGGUUCGGAACAACUCAGGGAAACUUGAGCUAAUACCGAAUGUGCCCUUCGGGGAAAAGAUUUAUCGCCAUUGGAGCGGCCCGCGUCUGAUUAGCUAGUUGGUAGGGUAAAGGCCUACCAAGGCUACGAUCAGUAGCUGGUCUGAGAGGAUGAUCAGCCACACUGGGACUGAGACACGGCCCAGACUCCUACGGGAGGCAGCAGUAGGGAAUCUUGCGCAAUGGGCGAAAGCCUGACGCAGCCAUGCCGCGUGAAUGAUGAAGGUCUUAGGAUUGUAAAAUUCUUUCAGCGGGGACGAUAAUGACGGUACCCGCAGAAGAAGCCCGGCUAACUUCGUGCCAGCAGCCGC